rnacentral:rRNA from 1 species
GACGAACGCUGGCGGCGUGCCUAAUACAUGCAAGUCGAACGAGAGCGCCCGGUGCUUGCACUGGUCAAUCUAGUGGCGAACGGGUGAGUAACACGUGGGUAACCUGCCCAUCAGAGGGGGAUAACAUCCGGAAACGGAUGCUAAAACCGCAUAGGUCUUCGAGCCGCAUGGCUUGAAGAGGAAAAGAGGCGCACGCUUCUGCUGAUGGAUGGACCCGCGGUGCAUUAGCUAGUUGGUGAGGUAACGGCUCACCAAGGCCGUGAUGCAUAGCCGACCUGAGAGGGUGAUCGGCCACAUUGGGACUGAGACACGGCCCAAACUCCUACGGGAGGCAGCAGUAGGGAAUCUUCCGCAAUGGACGCAAGUCUGACGGAGCAACGCCGCGUGAGUGAAGAAGGUGUUCGGAUCGUAAAACUCUGUUGUUAGAGAAGAACAAGUGCUAGAGUAACUGUUAGCGCCUUGACGGUAGCUAACCAGAAAGCCACGGCUAACUACGUG